UAGUAUUGAUAUCUCUAAUGCUAAACUUCAACAACCCUACGAGGUCAGGUGGGUCAGUAGUCUGACAAUCAAUCCCUGACAUCAGCUGAGCCGGUACACUUCACAGAUGUACAUCAAUUUAGGAAGGGAGUAAUACACUUUUCAAACUAUAUUCGUUGCAAGCAACCCAGUGUUCACACACUUUCAGUUAUCGAAGUGCUUCAAUCCUAAAUCGAGUUCUUUUUUCCUCUCAGACUCGGGCCUACACACCCACCCCUGAGGAUGGGAUUACCCACAUGAAAGUGGGGAUCUUUUCUAUUACUGUUGAAUGAAGUCGAGUAUUGCGAGAUAAACCUUUACGGUAUCACCGCCUAAGAUUGUCUCGCCUCUUCAGAAAGGAGUUGGUACCCCUUGUUCACUAGAACAUAUCAAAUCUAAUGACUAGCCAUUAAUAAUUAGUAUUGCCCGGAUGUGGAAUCGAACUCGGAGACCAAUUGUAACAUGUGUACCAACUGACGCCUAAGUCGACUCUCCCACCCGUUCCUCUUAAACAUGUUAAGCCGCUAGAUGUCUAUGUCGUCUGCUACCAACAGUUUCAAUUUUUCAAGUGUCAAACAUGGUAAAAUACUCGAAACUAUUUCCUUUCAACAGUCCACUGUUAAUUACAAUUUACAGCAAGCAUCAAGAAAUUUGAUGCAAUAACUAUGAUGAAGUUAACCAUCUUGGCUGGAUUUUUAAUCUGCUCUUUGGUUUGUGGAGAUGCACUUGAAAAUGGAUAUUAGCUCGAACUCCUUCCAUGAGAUGGGUUGGCAUCAGAAGUACACAAGCUUUAGGAUUUUAUUUCAAAUUUUGUCAGCUUGCAUGGGAAAGUUUUCAUUGUAAUUCAGACUGCAAAAAUGAUCCCGAAAACUGCAUUACUAAGAUUUAUUUCAACAUUGAACAUCUAGUGAAGAUUAUGGUAUCUGAAGGAUAUAUUUAAGUGCUGGUUACAAUAUAAUUUCAUUGGAUGUUGACUUGAUCAUUAUCGGGCAACUCCAAGCUGAUGCUACUAGAUUCCCUAGUGGAAUCAAAGCAUGCUGAUUGCUGACUAUGUGAGUUGAUCAAAACUUAUGCUAAUUGGUAUUCCGUCAUCAUAUUUUUUUUUCCCCAUAGUAAUAACUUUUUUAAAGAUUCAUUCUAAAGGUUUACAAUUUGGAAUGUAUGAAGACUAUGGAACUCUUACUUGUUGACGAGGAUAUCCAAGGAUUCUCACUCAUUUAACUGAUUCAAACACUUUUGCUGAAAGGGUGGGUGGUGAUUAUGUUAAUCUUGAUGGAUGCUAUGCAGAUUCUUCUGAAAUGGAUAAAUCAGGUAACCCUGAAUUUGGAACUCUUUUGAAUCUGACUGGUAACCCAUAGUGCGUACUUCUGUAGUUGGCCGGAUUAUCAGCUUCAACUAGUGGCUAUAAAGCAACCCCGAUAUUAGACCUGUUUGUAACCUUUGGCGAAACUUUGACGACAUCGAUGAUUCGUGGGUUAGUGUGUCAAGCAUUGAUUAUUAUGGUGAUAACCAAGAUAGGUUUGAUCCCGGUUGCUGGAAUAUGGUAAUAAUUACCGUUAGUUGGGUGAUCUAGCCAGAGAGGGAGUUCUGGUAGAUCCGAAGCCAAGAUUGUUGACUUGUCACGACUUUACCGUUCUUGAGUUUAUUCCUCCCAAGAACUUACAUUUGAAUUUUCUUUGAGUAAAGUAUUCUAUGUACGAAGCUUAGUCCAUGAUUUAGGAAUUGUUUUAAACAGCUGUGCUUACCUCGACACGCCGGAGAGAACUCGCCAAGGUCCGUUUGAAACUCAGCACUGUCUUACGGAAGAACAAUGCACGGCUACCGGUAUCCGCAAAAAUUUUUUUUAGAUGCAACAGGUUACACGCAAGUAUCUAGAUACUCAAAUGGAAAACUAUCGUUCAAGGAAAUCCCUUCAAAGUCAAAAUCAAAAUGUUGUCAAACGAAAGUAUUUUGAAUCUAGUAUAGGACUAUAUUUACUAAAAAGUAUGAUCAAUGGGAUUAAAUCUAAAUAAAUUGCAAAGUUUUUCUCCCGU